UUUGUUUAUUAUUGAAGAAUUUGUUUUGUUGAUAAAAAAAUCCAAUACAAAUAAGAGCCAAAAUCCAACACCCCCACAAUCCUAGAAAGCAAUAUAAUCCAUAACAAAAACUAAUGAAAUUACAGAGUUAAUAAAAUCUAUAAAACCAGAAAAAAAAAAAUGAAAGAAAAGAAGCAAAUGAGUAUCAUCAUGAAUUUCUUGGAUAUCAACAAGGGAUCUGAUCAGUGAACCAUUUAAGUAUUUUGAAAGGUAGCUUUAUGAGAUCCACUGCAAAAUUCGCCAGACCAGCACAACAUACACAGCAUGGGCACAAGCAACUCAAUAUAGUCCCAAUGAUCCAGACAACAGCACCAACAAGAGACAAAAGCAGAGCAACCAAAGCAAAUGGCAGGCCCAGCAAGAACCCCAAUGGUCUGCAAUCUCCCAUUUCUUGCAAACUCUUUCUUCUUCUUCUUCGUCUCUGUUUCGAAGACUUGAUUCUUGGAAGAAGAGGAAAGAAAGAAAGAAAUUUUAUAUAGAGC
rnacentral:misc_RNA from 1 species